GACAGAGGUGCCAAGCGUUAGGCGGAAUCACUGGGCUUAAAGCGUGUGUAGGCGGAUCGUUAAGUGCUUUGUGAAAUCUCCCGGCUUAACUGGGAGGGUGCGGCGAAAACUGGAAUGCUAGAGGAUGGGAGAGGUAAGCGGAAUUCCUGGUGUAGCGGUGAAAUGCGUAGAUAUCAGGAGGAACACCUGUGGUGUAGACAGCUUACUGGACCAUUUCUGACGCUGAGACACGAAAGCGUGGGUAGCAAACAGG
rnacentral:rRNA from 1 species